GUUGUGCUGCUGCUGCCCGCUGUCCGAGCCCUCCGUCCCGCCUCCGCUUUCCAUCUUCUGUCGGAGAUGGAGUCUCCGUUCCUUGGGCGAGGCGAAGAAGAGGAUGGCUGUCUAUGACAUUAACUAGCCGGUUCCUGCUCCGAGGACUUGUGGGUGAGAAACAAGAGAGGCAGUGUGGUCUCUCCCUUCCUCCCUCCCUCUCUCUCUCUCUCUCUCUCUCUCUCUCUCUCUCUCUCUCUCCCCGCCCAGAUAACGGGAUGUAGCCCUGGAGGAGAGAGAGAGAGAGAAGAAUCUCCUUUCUGCAGCUCUCUGCCGCCACCAUUGCAGGAUACUGGAAGGACACAAGGAGGAGGCAGAAGAAAACCAGGUAGCCUGCGGAUGCUCUGAGUGAUGGAUGGAGAGCAGGAUUCACCAUGGCUCGCUAUGCAUCACUUGGAAGCUCAAUAAAGAUAAAAUGGGAGCUAUUGCAUUGAAAAUACACUUUAAGAGUUUAACGUAGCCUAUACGCUGCGGUUCAGUGUUUUGCAGCCCCAAAAUGACAUGACAUGACCAUCUUGCUGCUGUCUGCACACUGUCAACAUUAAUUGUUUAUGUUUACUUUGAUGGAUAGAUAUUUACAUGUUUUGUACAUGUCAUAGCACAGUUUUUGGAGCCCCAGCUGCAACUUGUGUCCCCAGAGAAGCUUUUCUACCUAUUUUUUUGGCGCAAUGCCUUCUUGCACUGUAUGAAAUUAAAUCAUCAACACAACUUUUUUUAAUUGCUGUAAGGACAACAGCAUGUAGCAGCUUCCCAACCUGGUCAACAGAUGCACACACAAUAGACAAAAGAGAGAAAACACGACUAAAAAGAAGGUUGACAAAAAAAUCGACUUAAAAACUAUAUGUGGAAUACAUGAAUACCGUCAAUAAUACAUGAAAUACAAUACAGUUUUCACAGAAUCAGAUAUACAUCACAGUGAACAUGAAACCCAUAAUUAGGUUUGGCAAAAGUGUGUGUCUCAUGAUUAAAUUCUAAUAAUCCUGUUAUGUAUUCCUCGAAUUUGAGACUGAAAAAGAAAUGAUAAUAAGUGGGGUACUGACACAUUUUAUUGGCUGAUUGCUGAUGGGUUGUAGUGAGUACAGUCUUAAAUAGCCACAAAUCUGUAAAUUGUCGCAAUAUGUCAUAAUGUCAUUUACAGAUUUGUGGAUAUUAUUUAAUAUCCAAAUAAAUCAAAUUACCUUUUGAUGCAGGGUUAUUUUAAUGGUAUGUCUGUAUACUGACACACAGUUGCUCCCAUCAUUAUUAAUUCACCUCCUUUCUGUUGUGGGAGGUCAGAGGGUCACCUGACUCCAUGAGGGACCCCAUGGUAACACAGUACAGUAAGUCUCAGGUUACCUCUCUCUCAAUUCAAUUCAGUUCAAAGGGACAUUAUUGGCAUGGGAAACAGACGUAUAUUGCCAAAGCAAGUGUGAAAUAAUAACAAAAAGAUGUACAUUAAUAGAUUAGAAGACAUAACUUAGUGUAAAAUUGAGAAAUGCUGGCUUGCAGUCAGACAAAUGUAAAAACAUAUAAGUGAGAACUAUAUAAACACUGUAACUUUAAAAUAAAUAUUUGUUCUGUAUGUGUGUACAGUGUGUCUAUGUACAGAGAUCAAUGGUUGUCCUCCAGUGGAUGCCCUUCUCCUGUCUUUGUUUUUGUUAUUAGCCAUAUUUUAGUCUACAUAGGUGGUUGGACUCUCUCUUUUUCUUUUUCUCUCGUCAGAUAUCAGCUAGAAAGAAAAGAAGGCCAACAGUAUUAUUAAAACCAGAUACUAAACAUGCCUGGCUGAUCAAUCAGAAGUGUGUCUAAAAUGGGGAUAUCAGUCUCUCACCAGCAGUGGCUGAGUGGGAGGGUGGCUUUAAACUAUGAAGUUUAGCUAUUAAUAUACUUAUAAGUAUAGUAAGAGUUAUUGUUUACAUUAGACAUGAAGCUAUAAGGUUUUGGUAGGUAUGAGUGAGGUUUAGUGUGUAGGCAGGAAUCCAGUACUGAUCCUAAAGCCCAACAACCCUCAAAAUACAAGACAAUAUUGUAAUGUAACAGAAAAAAAGUCUACAGCUGCUCUGUGAGGCUGUACGUAGGCACCAUAUGGAACCCUUUAUUAAUGCUGAGAGGUAAUCUAAAUGAUUUAUAUUAUGUCUAAUAGGUUAAAAAAAAAAACAUCUGGUCCGUUCUUAGCUUGUAACAUCUUUAAGGUUAGGUUGCAGGUUAGGCCUUUAGUAUGUGAAGGACUUAACACAUUUAUUUUAUUUGAAUGCAACGUUUCCAACUCCCACACUAUACAGUAAGAAUAAAGGAAGCUUAAGCUUCCACAGUUCUUAUGGUCUUGUGUGACAGUCGCCUUCCACUGGCUUAACCAGUUAUAAUUAGUUUCCCAGUCUUUGUUGUAGCUGUAUUUCCCUGGUUUCUUCACAGCCAUUGUAUAAAAGCCAUGUGUUAGAAAAAGCAUCUGUCCUGCAGUGAUUUGACUUUUGAAAACUAGAGCCAAUCGAAAUGUGGGGGAUCGUCUCAAUAUGUGGGGGAUCAUGAAUGUCAGAAUUUUCUGGAAAUCCAUCUAAUGUGCAGACAUUCCUCUAAAAGCCAAAAAUGUCCUGCAAUAUAGAAACCAUUAACUUUUUAUUACCUCUUUGUUAGACUAUGCAAGAAGUUGUGACAUCAUGAAGUAGCCUACUGUUUAGUUAUUAAUUCAUGAAAUGCUUUAUUACAUUCCCUUAUACAACAUCUUUCUUGGUACAUAUGUAUACUGAGCAAGUAUAGGAAGGAUGAAGUUGAUGGGUAAAAAUGUAUUUCUGCUGUAUUUUCCACAAGUGAAUGUCAUCUCCAGCUAUUAACAGAUGGUUUGUUUUAUUAUUAAGAAGCAGAGUGGGUCCUCCUCUGAUCCCACCUAUUCCCUAUCUCUAAUAAUAACCUCUCCAUGUGCUGUGUCUCCUCAAUAGUAUGACUGCAUAUAUAAGCUCUUACACACUAUCACAUUCCAUUAUAACUUCCAAUAUAAAUGUAACAGCAUAGAUUUUCAUGUUUACUCUCUGUUCUUGAUCUUUUGUUUCAGUUGUGGCUGUUUGUGAAACUGUGAUCAUCAUAAGAUCAAAGUCUCAUCAUCAAAAAGCCAAUGCAAGAUGUCGAUACAGUCUGCGGUGGCAGAAUCACCCUCUGUGAAUCAUUUAUGAGCAGAAACACUAGACCAGCAAACACAGAAUUAGAGCAGCUAGAAUAGAGUUCAGCACUGGUCACUGGCCAUUUGUUGUUUACCAGACAAUAAAGUGGGUCUUGUUUGAUGUGAUUGUACUGUGACGAUAACCAGACUAAUGCAUGACUCAAAGACAAAACUGAUUAUGGUGCCAUUAUGCUCUCGGUCCACGUUAGGCAGUCAUGUAUCAUUGCCAGGUUUCAACUGGUUGUUUUAACUUGAGAGAUCACAUGGUUCUGUAUGAACAGAGAAAACGAUUCCUAUACAUGUAUAGUCUACAUCUCAACAGCAUAGUGCCAUUAGUGCUACAAUAACCAUUGUCAUUGAUAUAUAUGGAGCAUUAUGAGGUCAGAAAAUCACCUUUGGCUCAGUUGAUCAAAGAACAAUUUAUAUACUGGCUCUAUCCUGAAUCCAAUCUGUGCUGGAGCCUUUCUCUCACACUAAACUGUAUUAAAGAAAGAAAAAUCUUUAAA